AGAGUUUGAUCAUGGCUCAGAACGAACGCUGGCGGCGUGCCUAACACAUGCAAGUCGAACGGAAAGGGCCUUCGGGGUACUCGAGUGGCGAACGGGUGAGUAACACGUGGGUGAUCUGCCCUGCACUUUGGGAUAAGCCUGGGAAACUGGGUCUAAUACCGAAUAUGACCAUGCACUUCCUGGUGUGUGGUGGAAAGCUUUUGCGGUGUGGGAUGGGCCCGCGGCCUAUCAGCUUGUUGGUGGGGUAAUGGCCUACCAAGGCGACGACGGGUAGCCGGCCUGAGAGGGUGACCGGCCACACUGGGACUGAGAUACGGCCCAGACUCCUACGGGAGGCAGCAGUGGGGAAUAUUGCACAAUGGGCGCAAGCCUGAUGCAGCGACGCCGCGUGAGGGAUGACGGCCUUCGGGUUGUAAACCUCUUUCAGCACAGACGAAGCGCAAGUGACGGUAUGUGCAGAAGAAGGACCGGCCAACUACGUGCCAGCAGCCGCGGUAAUACGUAGGGUCCGAGCGUUGUCCGGAAUUACUGGGCGUAAAGAGCUCGUAGGUGGUUUGUCGCGUUGUUCGUGAAAACUCACAGCUUAACUGUGGGCGUGCGGGCGAUACGGGCAGACUUAAGUACUGCAGGGGAGACUGGAAUUCCUGGUGUAGCGGUGGAAUGCGCAGAUAUCAGGAGGAACACCGGUGGCGAAGGCGGGUCUCUGGGCAGUAACUGACGCUGAGGAGCGAAAGCGUGGGGAGCGAACAGGAUUAGAUACCCUGGUAGUCC
rnacentral:rRNA from 1 species